ACCACCUCCACCUGAGGAGAGGAAGAGAAAAGAGGAAAGAGCGACGGAACUUGUGGGAGAAAUGAGUGCAUCUCCUCAUGAAUCACCAGAAGAAGAGAGAGCAUCAGGAGCAGCAGCCAGACCGGACGGAAGCACAGCCUCCUCAUCAGAGACGCCGCAACAGACGGAGGAGCAACUGAAGAUGAAGACCGAAGUCGUGAAUCCUGAGCGACGUAACAGCAAAGAAAAACCUCCUAACAUGCCUGAAAGUGAGCCCAGAUCUCCAGCUUCUCCCUGAACAGACCACACAGUAUUUCCAGCGAAGGUCGAGUGCGAAUGAUCCUUAUGAUAUGAUAUGUAUUAUGCAUUAUGAUAUUAUGAUAUGUAGCUUUACUGAUGCAUUAUUAUUUAUUUAUUUUAUCAUUGUUUUCUUGCUUGACAAAAUACAAAGGUUUACGAUAGAUACAACAACAAAAGAUUUUUGCUAGCGGAUUUUUUCACAUGCCAGAUUUAAUUCUCGAUGCACGAAAGAGUGUUUCCUGUCUAACAGAGAUAAAGUGGUGCUUUAUUAAUUGUUUACAGAUUUUAGUGUUUUUUUACACUGUUUUAAUGUUAAUGUAUAGCUGUGUUUUGACGUUUGAUGCUUCUUCUGCUUUGCUUUACUUUCUCUACUUUCACUCUGCAAACACUGCCUUUUUAUGCGUACCAAAAAAAUAUACAAAAGCUGUCAUACUCUUAAUAAAUACGAAUAUGCAUUACUUAAAUACCUAUUUUAACUUAACUUAACCCUCCUGUUG